rnacentral:rRNA from 1 species
GAUGAACGCUGGCGGCGUGCCUAAUACAUGCAAGUCGAGCGAACGGACGGGAAGCUUGCUUCUCUGAUGUUAGCGGCGGACGGGUGAGUAACACGUGGAUAACCUACCUAUAAGACUGGGAUAACUUCGGGAAACCGUAGCUAAUACCGGAUAAUAUUUUGAACCGCAUGGUUCAAAAGUGAAAGACGGUCUUGCUGUCACUUAUAGAUGGAUCCGCGCUGCAUUAGCUAGUUGGUAAGGUAACGGCUUACCAAGGCAACGAUGCAUAGCCGACCCGAGAGGGUGAUCGGCCACACUGGAACUGAGACACGGUCCAGACUCCUACGGGAGGCAGCAGUAGGGAAUCUUCCGCAAUGGGCGAAAGCCUGACGGAGCAACGCCGCGUGAGUGAUGAAGGUCUUCGGAUCGUAAAACUCUGUUAUUAGGGAAGAACAUAUGUGUAAGUAACUGUGCACAUCUUGACGGUACCUAAUCAGAAAGCCACGGCUAACUACGUG